rnacentral:rRNA from 1 species
UACGAAGGGGGCUAGCGUUGCUCGGAAUCACUGGGCGUAAAGCGCACGUAGGCGGAUUUCUAAGUCAGGGGUGAAAUCCUGGAGCUCAACUCCAGAACUGCCUUUGAUACUGGGAAUCUCGAGUCCGGGAGAGGUGAGUGGAAUUGCGAGUGUAGAGGUGAAAUUCGUAGAUAUUCGCAAGAACACCAGUGGCGAAGGCGGCUCACUGGCCCGGUACUGACGCUGAGGUGCGAAAGCGUGGGGAGCAAACAGG